UACGGAGGGUGCAAGCGUUACUCGGAAUUAUUGGGCGUAAAGGGCGCGUAGGCGGUUCGAUAAGUCUCAUGUGAAAUCCCAGGGCCUAACCCUGGAAUGGCAUGGGAUACUGUUGGAUUUGAGUUCCGGAGAGGAAGGCAGAAUUCCCGGUGUAGCGGUGAAAUGCGUAGAUAUCGGGAGGAAUACCAGUGGCGAAGGCGGCCUUCUGGACGGAUACUGACGCUGAGGCGCGAAAGCCAGGGGAGCAAACGGG
rnacentral:rRNA from 1 species